CUUGCUAUUCUUAUUUGUAGAUACUUCAAGGAAACAAAAAUGCUUACCAUUAUGCAGCUUGGAGAAAUCUUCGCGUUUUAGCAAGAGCUUUACGGUUCAUUCCAUUAACAUACGUAGGUCAACCAUGUAUGAGAGUUGAUACUUGGGGUUUAUGUAAGUUAUUGUACAUCAUUGUCUCUUUUGAAUUUCUUAUAAAAUAACUUAAAUUAAGGAGGAUCCCUACAGUUUCUCCUGUGGCUCAUUUAAACGAAUUAUACACAAGCCGUCAAAGUAUUUUUAGUCAAAAAUUAUAAAAAAAUAUCCUAAAAAUCAAAAAGUAAAUAAAUAUAAAAUAAAUAAUCUCACUGCAUAUACGUAUACCACCUGAAAAAUCUGUCGGUACUGGAAAUUGCCAAGUUGACCGGUUCUAAUUGAUGAUGGGACCAUUUCUUCGUUCUUAACAUCUGAAGAAGAUGAGUGUUCAAGAUGUGUAUUGUAUAGAAUAUGCUCGAUUCAAGACUGCAUGGCAAUAUCGUGCAAUAAAAACACUUUAAAACUUGAAUCCCCUUUUAUAUUCGUUUUCCAGUUUGGUCACUUUUGAAACAUUGUUGUCAACAGCGAAAAAGACAGAAAACGUGAACAGAAAACUUAAAGAGGCUGAGCGUAUUUUAAAGUGCUAAUGUCUCUAAAAAUAUUUUCUAUAUUUCUAAAAUGAAGACUCAAGGUGUACUUAGUCUUUGGAAUGAAGUACAUAAUGUACAGGUUUCUGAAAGGCAUUCAUUCAGUAAUCUCAAACUACGAGUUAGAAAAAGAAAGACGACAAUUGCAUACUCAAACACUCGAAUCAAUAUACCUUAUGCAUAAUGACGUCACUAGGCUUGUUGCCCGCGAGGAAUGCUGGUCUUAGUAUUCAUUGCCCGGGAAAAUUUCGAUAGUGGCCAUUUUGAAUUGUUUAUUUUUACCCGGGCAAUAACUACCAUGACCAGAAUUCCUCGCGGGCAUCAAACCUUGUGAUGUCGUUACCCAAGUCUAUUCCAACAUUCCUUUGUCCUGUCCGUCCAAUUAGUCCAAUACUGAAUUUUUCAUUGCAAGACGUGUCAGAUGUGCCCAUACAUACACCGACUUAAAGGGAUAUGGCAUUAUUCCCUAUCUUGCUUAGCUUGGUUUUCGAAGUAAAUCGGCUUAUAUUGAUCAAAACCAGCGUGCAUUCCGCCAUCUUGGAUAUGCAUUCGAUAUGCAUACGUCACAAGUAGGGUAAAAAGCGAAAUUUUUGGCACUCAAUUAACUCACAAUAUUUUAAGAAACUUUUCGAAGGAAUUUAGUCCCACAUGAAGAAGUUUUAACAAGUUUACCAUGUUGUGACGUCAUCAAAAACUAAGUUAAUUGGGUCAAUUAUAAUACCAAGAUGGUGGACUGCACACUGUUUUUGGGAAAAAUAUUUUGAAAACCAAGCAAGAUACGAAAAAGUUGUAAAGGGUCGUCAUAUAUAACUUUAAAAGUUCUUUCAAAUAAGACAAAGUUAAUUUCCAUUGCCAUAUUCCUUUAAUUACGGUUUUGAAUACCAUCUGGUAAGAUCAUAUGGUACCAGCAAAAAUGCAAGAACGCAAAUAGUGAGGGUAUCUACGUGAAACUUGGUUGCAAACAAAUUAAAGAAGUACCGCACCGUAAUAUUGGCGUAACUCCGAUACGUAAGUACGCGAUUUAUCGCACCCUGCUUUAAAUUACAUAAAAUUUAGAUAAACACCCUUGUUUUUAUGUACUUUAGCUCCGAGCGGUCCUUUAUUGAACAUCAGAACCACAUCAAGAAGUGCAUCAUCACUGUUUUUCGCCUGGGACGUCGACCAUUCUGAGACAACCAAACAACAUGGCGUAAUUAUCAGUUAUACAGCUUGUGUUUCACAUUCAGAAAAUGGUCCUUGCUUUCAAAAAUGUAUCACAAGUGAAAGAGAGUGGCUCGUCAGAAAUUUGAAUGCAUCAACAAAAUACUAUGUUCGUGUUUUCGCAAGUACUAAAGUUGGCCAUGGAAACAGUGAAAGCAGAGGAUUUUUUACAGAUGAAA